rnacentral:rRNA from 1 species
UGGGGAAUAUUGGACAAUGGGGGAAACCCUGAUCCAGCAAUGCCGCGUGAGUGAAGAAGGCCUUAGGGUUGUAAAGCUCUUUCGCCCGCGAAGAUAAUGACGGUAGCGGGAGAAGAAGCCCCGGCUAACUCCGUGCCAGCAGCCGCGGUAAUACGUAGGGUGCGAGCGUUAAUCGGAAUUACUGGGCGUAAAGGGUGCGCAGGCGGUCUUGCAAGUCAGAUGUGAAAGCCCCGGGCUUAACCUGGGAAUUGCGUUUGAAACUACAAGACUAGAGUGCAGCAGAGGGGAGUGGAAUUCCAUGUGUAGCAGUGAAAUGCGUAGAGAUGUGGAAGAACACCGAUGGCGAAGGCAGCUCCCUGGGUUGACACUGACGCUCAUGCACGAAAGCGUGGGGAGCAAACA